GAUGAACGCUGGCGGCGUGCCUAAUACAUGCAAGUCGAGCGAACAGACGAGGAGCUUGCUCCUCUGACGUUAGCGGCGGACGGGUGAGUAACACGUGGAUAACCUACCUAUAAGACUGGGAUAACUUCGGGAAACCGGAGCUAAUACCGGAUAAUAUAUUGAACCGCAUGGUUCAAUAGUGAAAGACGGUUUUGCUGUCCCUUAUAGAUGGAUCCGCGCCGCAUUAGCUAGUUGGUAAGGUGACGGCUUACCAAGGCAACGAUGCGUAGCCGACCUUGGAGGGUGAUCGGCCACACUGGAACUGAGACACGGUCCAGACUCCUACGGGAGGCAGCAGUAGGGAAUCUUCCGCAAUGGGCGAAAGCUUGACGGAGCAACGCCGCGUGAGUGAUGAAGGUCUUCGGAUCGUAAAACUCUGUUAUUAGGGAAGAACAAAUGUGUAAGUAACUAUGCACGUCUUGACGGUACCUAAUCAGAAAGCCACGGCUAACUACGUG
rnacentral:rRNA from 1 species